rnacentral:misc_RNA from 1 species
UACAGAGACCUCAAGCGUUAUCCGGAUUUAUUGGGCGUAAAGGGUGCGUAGGUGGUUUUGUUAGUCCUGUGUUAAAGUCCGAGGCUCAACCUCGGUUUCGCGCGGGAAACGGCAAGACUAGAGGUUGGGAGAGGUGUACGGAACCCAUAGUGUAGGGGUGAAAUCCGUUGAUAUUAUGGGGAACACCAAAGGCGAAGGCAGUACACUGGCCCAUACCUGACACUGAGGCACGAAACCCUGGGCAGCGAAAGGG